GCCCGGCCCGGCCCGCCCCGCCGGGCGGUGCUGCGGCCGCCCCCGCUCCCAGCAGCCCUUGCAGCCGCCUACAAUGAAAUUUGCGAAGUUUUUUCGGUUUCGGCGCCAUUUUCGAGUGGACUCGGAGGAAAUUUGAAUAUCCUGGCAAGGUCCGGCUUCCCCGGGCAGCCUCGCAGCUCUCCGGGAGCUGCAGUGAUGGAGCAACGUGUGCAGCACUGGGGCUUUUCCCUCUCGAAUUGAUCCUAAAUACAGUAUUUUUCCCAACUAUGCAUCAGGUACAUAAAGACAAUUUUUUUGCGUUUGGAGAGCUAAUUUUCCAAGGUUAAAACAUUAAUUGGUGUCCCACCCCCCCAAAAAAAAGAAAUUCUGCUUGUAUGUUGUGUGUGUGUUACGUGUAGGUGAGGGACCAUCUGCCAAGUUUCAUCAUCUUCUGCUCUGAAGAAAUCCAAAGAACUCACCGGCAACUGUGAAAGUCUGUAUUUAGUUAAUCCACUUUAGUGGGAAAUAACAGUAAAAUUUUGCUGCUAAUGCCGUAAACAUUUAUGAAAUGUAAGAGAGAAGCUUUAAGUAAUGCUUCAGGCAAACUGACCCAAAUCUAAAAAAAAUAAAAUCAAAGUGCUCUUGUUAUGUUUUGAAUUACUGUUCCAUCUGACCAAAAAAAAAAAAAUAAGUUUUUUGUUUGAGGUUUUUUUUUCCUGUGCUUAACAAAUAAACUUUAUAGGAAUCGGGCUUCCAGAUCUGUCCCUUGUUGUUUAAAACUGGAUGAGAUGACAAUGCAAAAAAAUGGAAGUAACAAGAAGCAUCAUACUUGUCUUCUCCUCAGCAGUGUUGAGAAAAAACUGUGGAUCCUGGAAUUUUGCUGUGGAUUUUACUGGUUUUCUGAAGUACUGUAAGUUGAAGUCUUGUCCCGCAGGCCCUCGCGAGCACCAGUAGCUCCUCGCCAGAACAACACCCUCGCCCUGGUGAAUACAGCUGAUCCUGCUGUUCCCACUGAAACAGCAAUUGCCUGAUUGUGUCCAUGGAGUCAGUGCAGGAGGAGCUGAUGUGCCUGCGUUCAGAGGUGAGUUGGGAAGGUAAGUUCGUGUGUCCCACCUGCUCCGAAAUACCUGCGGCAUCUGCAUCCCUCUGGGGAAGCACAGCGUCCUCUGAAAUCCAUAUCCCUUUUUGAGCACUGCAGGUAAUGCCUUGGAGAGGUUGAGAUAAGCUCGAAUCAUCCUGUUCAGCUGCCCAUUUCUGAUUGAAAGUUGAGAUUCCAUAGCACAAACUGAGUUUGAAGCGUGAGAUGGGAUGAUCCAAACACAGAACUUUCUGUUGCUUAAGAUAAUGACGCUGUCAUGUCAUAAACACGCAUAUUUUCUCAGAUACGUAUUUCACUGCCUAUCCCAAAUUUCCACUUGCCCAAUACUCAGUGUGAAUGAUUUUUCCCUCUGUGCUAGAGGCUGGCGGAGGUGUACUGAGCCCUUACUUUGGAAAGUCCUUGCUGAAGUCAGCUGUUGCCCUCUUUGUUGAACUAGGCAAAAGUUUGGUUUAUAUAUAUAUAAAAACAUUAAUUAAAACAUGAACCUCAAACACUAUCAAAAUGGAUUUUAGAGCUAAGUGUGUUUGCUGUUGCUUUUUUCUUUUGGAGUCACUUGAAGAGAUGAAAGAAAUAAGACUGCACAGGUACAGUCAAGUAAAACAUUGUUACAGAAAUAAUUAAUGGUAAAAUUAUGUGGAGGGUGGUUUUGAUUUAGCUCGUACGGGUUUAACACUGGAUACGUGUUGGCUUUGCAGUAAGUAGCAGUUGCUCAUUAGGGAGUUGGCCCUGGUGGUGUCAAUGUUGAGGACACUGAAGGGGUGAAAAUACUGCUUUUUUUGUUGGCAAAUAUUUGAUUUAAAAUUUGCAAUCAUUUGGCACAGGUUACAAGAGCUUUUGAAAUUCCUGUUUUUAAGUUUGCUGAGGAGGCAGGGACUCGGAGGAGGCCGGGCUGGAACCCGGCGGCUCCUCGGGCACGAGGGGAUGGCACAAGAAUUCGAACCAGCAGCGUCAUUUCUGACAUUGUUCAUUGAUGCUGCUUUUUAAGAAAAUGAAUUGAAGGAAGUUGUCACAUAACUGGGACAAAAAAAAAAAAGGUUGAAAGGAAACACAAAGAAUGUCAGUCUGUCUGCACUGCUCCUGUGCAGCCCUCGCAGGCCGGUGUGUAAGUGCUGCUGGCAGCUGCAGGGCUGCAGCCUCUGUCUGCCCUACACUGGUACUUUCUGCUCUGGUGCAGGGCAGGGAAGGCAGUGAAGUUCCAGAGAUCUUUAAUUUCUGGUCACAUAAGCUUUGUCCAUUCAAAUAGAAAAGUAAGCAUAAUCUAGUCUUUUUAAAAAGAAAGGGGUUUUUUUUAGAUUUCUCACAAGUCAGACUGAGCUGAAUAGAAGUAUUUUAAGGAAAACUUAACAGGUUUGAACUGUUGGAAUCUGGAUUUAUUUAUCUGAAAUAUUAAUGUUGAGACAUCUGGAAAAGCCUUGGUGUUCAGCAGCCCCUAGGAGGAAAGUUCAAGGUUACAUUUCCCCACAGACCAUUUGGAAGGGCUGGGAAGGUCUGCAGGCUCUCUGCAGUAGAAAAACCAGGAGAGAUCUGCAGGAUCUGGAAGUGUAUAUUUGUUGGGACCGAGAUACUACAUAUUCUUUGGGUCUGAGUGGAAUAGUUAAUUUUAUUUCCGAUUUUGUUUCUGAAACUGGUUUGUUUGCACUGUGUAACUGCUUGUUCUCUUAUAGUUACAGACUGUCUGAUAGCACCCCUGAAGAAAAAAAACCCUGUCCUGUGGUGGUAAUGCAUGCAUGUUAAAUGUCUUCAUUGUAGAGUGUUCUUCAGUUCCUUUUAUCAUGGUUUAAAAAAAAAUUAUAUAUAUAUAUAUAUAUUUUCAAAAUACCAUUUGGAAUGUCAACAUUCAGUGGGCUUUGAGGAGAUGUAGCAGCACAUCAUGGUUUGUAGGGACAAGGAGAUACAGACCAUUCUGGGCUGCCUCAUUACCUCAAGGAUAAGACAAGAAAGUGAGCUUCUGGUUAUCAUAGAUGUGGAAGCUAAAACAUUCCCAUGUAUCCCUUUAGUUCAGUUGGACAGAUGUGUGUAGACACGUUCUCUUGGUGCUGGUGUCUGUGCACAUCCUUUGCAGCUGCAGAUACAUUCCCUCUGAGUCUGUGUGUGUGUCUCAGCAGGGCUGGCCCUGCCGGCAGGAAGGACUCAGCUCCUUUUUGUUCUCCAACAUGGGCAUGACCUGUGUUGGCUUGAGCUUCAUAUGUACUAUAUACCCCUCACCUAUGGCUCUUUGAUCCUUUUGCUGGCAAAGGAUUGGCCAAGGUACCCUUGCCCUGUGUUUGGGGCAGAAAAGGGGGGUCUGGAGGCCGUGGAGAGCUGUCAGCAGUGCUCUAGCAGCACGUAAAUACUGGAGUUUGGGAUUGCCUGUUGCUCUCCAGUAUUGCAUUGCUGCUUUAGUGAGGCUGGAAAUUGGUCCCUGCUGCAGGAGCCGGGGCUCUGGCCCUGGGAGUACCUCCUUGGCACCCCCACGGUGCCCCCACACUGCUGGGGGGCUCUUGUCUCCCACACCAAUAAACCACUGCGGAGGCAGCAACCAA